UCCGCCGCGGGCAGCGCGCCGGGAGCUGCCAGCCUUCCGCUGCGGGGAGGGGUGGCUGGACGAGAGCUGUGGAGACAGGGACGCCUGACGGGCUGGUGUAACUUUGCGCUUCAUCUUGGUUUUCUGCUUUGAGGUGCCACGGGACUGUUGUUAGCGCACACAGUGUGUGGAAGUAUCUUCCCUCUUUGUUUUGUUUUGUUGUUUUUUUUUUUUUUGGACUUGACAAGUAAGUAUUCAGUAGAGUAAUUCUCUACACUUGGGGUUUAUUUCAGUCUUUGUUAGCUAAUUUACAGGUUAAGCCGCGUUGCUCAACAGGUUUGAUUUUUUGCACAACUAAUCCCUUUGGAAUGGAGCAAAAUAUUAAUUUAGGACCUUUUUAGACUGCUGCGAGUGAAAAUCGGCAGCUAACGGGAUUUUGAGUCAUUCCUUUCCUCGUUUAUCCCGUUAGUUUGCUUCUCGAAGAGUGACUGCUGAGCACUUUUAAAACUGUGUAUCUUUACCUCAUUACUUAAAGUAAGUGUCCUUUGAGCCAUGUUUCUACAUAAUAUUGUAAAGCUUAAAUUGAUUUAGAAAUGAGAUCGGGUAAGUUGGUGAUGGAGGUUUUGGCUUGCUUAUUGAAACAAGGAUUUCUUGAAAUGUACUCGGUGCCAUUGCUCGUGAUUUGCUACAUUUGAAUAGCACUCCAGCAGCGGUUGCUUUGGGGAAGCUGUAGUGCAGCAGGAAGUGCUGCUGCUGAAGGCUACGGGCCUAAAAGUUGACAAUAUGCACAAACCUUCUAACGUGAUUACUUACAGCAAACACAAUAUGCCGUGACAGACAAAGUUACUCUGUGUAACUUCCAUAAGAAGAUGGAAGUAAGUAUUAGAUUUUUUUUUUUUUCCUCCUGACAGAUCAGAUUGAUGGAAUUUUAAUACUGCAAUACACCUUCCUCUGUUAGAAAUACCCCUCCCUACGCACUUUCCCAAAAAAUGAAUUCUGUCCUGAAUUGGUACACGUAGUACCAACAUGAUAGUACAGAACCCAUGUAAAAAAGUUUUCAAAAGGGAGAAUGUGCAGUUUCUCCGGGGAUUAUAUUCUUACAUUUAGUCCUUUUCAUAUGUUAAUGAUAUCAAUUGGACCACAAUCAAGUAUAUAUGCAAAUGUUUCUAAGACUCAAAUGUAUCUUGUUAGUAUUUAUAUACUUUAUUUGUUGAUUCCUUUGAACUUGGCUAUAAGUAAAUACAUUCCUGAAACAAUUAGAUAGUGUAGUCUUCAUUAAAACAUCUUAUUUGAGCAUAUAUGUCUGUAGCAGUGGACACUAGAAAGUGCCCUUAAUACCUCAAAUGGAAUCAUUUGUGGCUUUAGUGCUUUCUGAAUCAGAAGUGGUGUCUUAUUUUUGACAGUUCUCAGUAGAUUUUUAUUCCACAAAUUUGCCAGAUCAUACACUUUUUAAGUCCCCAUAGGCUUUUGGCAUUUGCAGGAAGAGGUCCUUGCUUAAUGAGGUUUGGCUAUGCAUUGUUGAAAUGUGGGGUGGUUUUGUGGUGGUGUUUUUUUCUGGGAGAGGGGGCUUUUUUGUGGGUUUUCUUGGGGGGAAAGUUAUUGGUUUUGUUUGUUUUGUAAGUUUCCUAUCUGUCUUUGUUCAUUUUCCUAGAAGCAAUGAACAGUUGCUCUCUACUCACCUUUGCUCUUCAGUUCAUGAUUUUCUGUAUUUCCUCAGUCUUGUAUUUCCCGAGCUGGAGAGCUUUAGUCUAUGCUUUGGGAGAUGAGGAGAUCAGGAGUUACAUACAGUAUUCAAGACAUAACAGCAGUCAAAAUAAUGUUUUUUAUGUUAUUACCCAGCUCUUUCUUUGUAAUUCCUGUAAUUUAUUUGUUUUGUUUGGUAAGGAAGUGAGAAAGUGGGUGAACUGAGCAUUGUUCAAUGUUGGCCUGUUCAAUGUUGAACAGAUGUGGAACCUUGUCUUCAUAGCAUUAACUAUGUAGAUUCCAGGAUCUGUUUUCUGUCUGUUAACAUCUACAUCUCUUAGAUAAUUUUAAAGGUGAGGUGGCAGGAUUCUUUUUUUUUUCUGUGUUUACAUUAUGAUUAUCUACAUUAAAUUUCACCUGCUUAUGCACUCCGGAUUGUGAAGUUAUAUGCAGAUUCCCUCAGCCACUUAGCUUCAACAGCAUACUUCACCACCAUACUGUUUUCAGAUCGUUUAUCGUGAUUCAAAUAGCUUUUAUUUCAGAGGUAUGCCUCUGCAAAAACACCCUGAGGGAGUAUAUACACAAUUCAUUAAAAAAUAGCUGUUCUCUAGUAUUAUCUUUGUUGACUAAUAGUACUCUUCCUGGCAUAUUCCAGGCCCAUGUCCUGAGUAGUUUACAAUCUGAUUGUGAAUGGUUUCAGUAUAAAGAAAAGUUGGUUUGAGUAGUUUGGAAUCAUAGAAUGGUUAGGGUUGGAAGGACUUUAAAGGUCAUCCAGUUCUAAGCCCCCUGCCAUGGGCAGGGAACCACACACUAGACCAGAUUGCCCAAAGCCCCAUCAAACCUGGCCUCGAACGCUACCAGGGAUGGAGCAUUCACAACUUCCUUGGGCAGCCUGUUCCAGUACUUCACCACCCUCACAGUAAAGAACUUCUUCCUUAUAUCUAACCUAAAUCUCCCCUGUUUAAGUUUUAAACCACUGCCCCUUGUCCUAUCACUCUGUCGCUAAUGAAAAGUCCCUCUCCAACAUCCUUGUUCGCCCCCUUCAGGUACUGGAAGACUGCUAUGAGGUGUCCAUGCAGCCUUCUUUUCUCCAGGCUGAACAGCCCCAACUGUCUCAGCCUGUCUUUAAAAGAGUAUUAAUUAAAUUUCUCCUAGUGACAGAAUAAUUUUUAGAAUAAAACAAUACCUUUUCAUGUACUAUUCUUGAAGCACAUACAGAAAAAUAUAAAGUGUUGCACUUAAAUUGGAAUGAAAAAAUAAAUUUCAGGGUGAUGUGAUUUUUUUGUCAUCUUAUAAUUUCACUAACAAAGAAGAUGGGUAGUUUUGUGAUUUGGGAUGAUUCUUAAAGUACCAUAUGACAGAAUACCUGAACCUGUGUAACAGUUGCUAUUGAUGCCAUGGCCUUGAAGUACAAACAAAUGUCUUCAGUUGCUAUUUGAUAAGUUUAGAAAUGUUAUAGCCCAAUUUUUAUUCAAAAAUACUGAGUUACUGUUGUCAUUGUUCUCUGUUCAAAAACAGAAUAACUAGAAAGAACAGAGAACACAACCAUGACUCUCUUAAUUCAAGGCUGCAAUCUGGGCAUCUUCUUUGUCCAGUUUCUCUCCUUAACCUACACAUCCAGAACAUGUCUAGAUCUUACCACAUCCACUUGAAUAUUUCUAAGUUUUAAGCAUUCCCUUCUGUUUGCACUGGACUUUUUUCUUUCUUUUUUCUUUUUUUUUUUUUUAAUGCUCUGGCUCUUUUGUGCCCUGUAAUCUCGGAAUUCAUGGGGACCACCCCUGUUCCAAAUUGCCAUGGUUUUCACCUCAAAGUACCUUUGCUGUCUCCUGUUCUUCAGACACAUCAAAUGCAAACAUUUGUUUAUUCCUUCCUAAUUUAGUCCUGCAAUUCUGAUCACUUUUGAACCAUGUGAACAACUUUUGCAACUCUUUAAUAACUUUGGACACAGUUGUCCAUCCCUUCACUUCAGAAAACUGUUUUGAGCUUUCCCUUGUAUCAGCACAGUAAGGUUUAUCAAAUUCUAGGAAGUCCUCUUCAAAGUUUCUCUUCAAGCCUUCCAUGUAUUCAGAAAAGUAAUAAUAAUUAGAUCUAAUGAUUAUCGUAUGUAAUUGUGCCCUGACUGUAAUACUUGCCCUUUUUACAUGGUGUCUAACUUGGAAACUUUCACAGGGUAGUAUUUCAGAAAGCUAUGAAACACAUCAGUCCUCUUUAGGUUCUCCUUUUUGUGUAUUUUUGUGACAGAAUUGUCUCAGAUAUGGUUGACAGCUUUCUCAAGCACUGAACUUUAUCUUGGCCAAAAUGCAACUGUCCUAUUUGAGAUUCAUUUUUAAUAAUGGGCUUAGACGUAAUCAACUUCUUUAAACAAAGUAUCCUUUGAAACUGAAAACAAAAGAAAUUUCAAGUAGCUACAUGGUUUAAAUAGCUUGGCUUUCUAAUCAUAAUCUGGGAUUAUUUGUGUAGAAAUUCUUGUGCAUGACUGAAGAAUGGGUAAAUUGAUGCCUUGUUCUGGGAACAAUAUUCUACUACCUGAUUACUGGUGUAGUAUAAAGCAUAUGGGGAAAAAAAAUACAAACCCACCACUCAAGAAAAACACCAAAAAAGAAAACCAAAAUAAAAAAACCCAAAGGUGGGAUCAGAGAACAUAUUGUACCUUGGAGUUUUACCUCUGAGUUAACAAGUUACUGCAUUUGCUGCUUUCCUUUAAUUCAUAUCCCUAAGAAAGUUGAUGCCCAAAUACCAUGUUUUUAAUUAUUUUUCCUUUGAAUAUUAGAGUUUCAGCAAUUAUUUUGUCAAUUAAUAUAAAAACAGUUAAAGUGCAGGCAGUAACUGUCUGUGUGUACAACUUUGUUAUCAGUUUUACAUUAGACGCUUGUAUAAAUAAAGAAGUGACAUUACUACAGCUACAAUCAGCAAAAGAACCCUCAACAAACAAAGGAAAUAUUACGCCUCCAGAAAACCCAUAUAAGUAUGGUUCACUUAUGGAAAUCAAGUCUUAACCAAACUGGAAUUAACACUUGAGGAACACCAGCAUUACAUGCUAUCUUUAUGAGUUUGCAUUGCGGCAAGCACUGCUGCUGCUCUGUUUGGUAAACUGCAGAAGUUAAGUGCUGCAGCUAGCAGCUGGAGCUGCAUGGAUGCUCUCAUAUUUAUCUGUGGUUAAUAUAUUUAAGGCAGGCUAUGAUAUCAACUGCCAAGAUGUGCAAAUGUCUUCAGCCCUGAAAUCCUAGAGAGAUCUGUGGUGGUCCAUAGGCAAGCAGGCAUAACGGAUACAAGUGACUGAAGGGUACCAAGAUGCAGUUACUAAAGAAAUUUUAAAAAUGCAGGUAAAAGAGGCUUUUUGUGCAAGUGUAUUCACUAUGCAUGGUGUCAGUAUACUUGCAAUAAGGUGCUGUUAAUGUAUUUGACAUGUCUAAGGGUGGGAGGAGAGAGAUCCAGCUGUAUCCACAUUAAGCAAAGCCUCUAAUUUCAAAGGUAAGUCAUGACAUUUUCAAUUUCCUCAUGUAGCAGCAAAGACCAAGUUACUACAAAUUAUAUCUUUUAGUUUAAUUUGUCAAAAAUGGGCACAUGGCAAAAAAAAAAUGGAAAGGAGUAGCGGAAAAAAGUUGUUCCUUGUAUGAUAAGAUGUCUCUAGUGGACAUAGUGCUUAUCAGGUUAAAAAGUAUUAGAAAGAUGGAGCUGCUACAAAUGCCAUUGUUAGAUGAGAUUUCUUAUUUCUGGUGAAGACAAAUAUGGGUGCCAUGAUCCAAGCUGUAGAUCAUCAGCAACAAAUUUUGAGGAGCAGUCUGUAAGUAGCAGAAAGAUUGCAUCAGCCUAGUUAAACACUAACUGUUCAGAAUCUAGAAGGAUAAAAAUCUUUAACUGAUCUCUCAAGUUUUUUCUAAUGCUCAUAUAUUUGUAUUUAUGAAGAGAAGCAGUAGUAUGCUGACUUCUGGUACUGUACCCAGAUGCUUCUACUACUGUAUUUUUUUAAAGCUAAGCUAUCACUCUCCUCAUCUGAACAAACUUGUCUUCUGAAAUGGACCAACAUGUGCAUCUCCAGAUACGCAUGUAAUGAUGUACACCUCUUCAGCUGAAAUGUAUUUUCAUCAUACCCUAGCUCUCACUUUAAUGGUGAAAUUGUCAAUAGACAAUGAUUUCUAAUGUUUUACAAACAGGAUGCAUGUGUGCUGUGUGUUUUCAAUAGUCAGGCCACGUAUAGUCUACAUAUUCCAUGAAAUAACACUAAUAGUCUAACACUUCAUAUUAGCUUUGUGGAAAGUUUUAAUGGAAUUGUGUAACUUUUAAAAACAUAAUUUUUAUGCAAUCUAUCAUUAAAAAAAAAUUUGUGAAAUUAUUCAGAAAUUACACAUUGAAAUAAAUGAGGAUGUCUUUGGCUCAACUUUUUUCCCCAAGGUACCAUGAAUUUGUCUGCUAAUUUCCCAAUAAAAAUAAAGAUAAUGAGCUAUCAAGUUCAACAAACAGCUGUCAAAAUUCUGGCUUUAAGAUAUUAGAGAACUGUGUAAUUAUACAUGGCACUGACUUUUUUACAUGAGCUUAUUUGGAGAAUAGUGGUUUAUUUGAGUACAGUUUGUCAUCCUAUGGUAUAAGCAAAACUGAUUAAUAAUGAAUUAAUAAUAAAAGAGUAAAUAGGUGACUUUCUUCAUAUGUGGCAUUUCUCUACAAAAAGUUUAGUUUAUGCUGAAUCAUGUUUUAUUAUAAAAUCUACACCUUCAGUUAAAUAGCAUUAAACUUAAGAAUACAUACUAAUAUUUCAGUGGCAAUUCAGUCCUUAACUUGCUAAUUGAAAUUUCUGUUUUGAAUUGAAAUAGAAGCAUUUUAUGGACUCUGUUCAUUAUUAGUGCUAAAGAUUAGAUCUAAUAGGGAGCUGGUUUGGUUUUUCAGAGAAGUCUGACUUAACACAUAAGCAUCAGAUGCAUAAAUAUAUCCUGAAAAAGAUCAGAAUCAGUCUGAGUCAGGUCAUUUAUUGCGAAGGAAGGAAAAAAAAAAGGUGAGCUGAAUCAUUCAAUCAGCUUCUCUCAUUUCCACGUCUUUCAGAUACCCAUUUUAUUGACCCUAAAUCAUUAAGAGAAGUCAUUGUUAAUUAAUAUUCAUUUAAAUUCUGUUGAAUUGCUAAAAUUACAUUAUAUUGUCAGCAGGCAUGAAACAACCCAGUAAAGAAAUUGUGCUGAGUUAGACCUCUUCAAGAUCUGGCCUGUGGUGUUUCAUCACAUGCUGGAGUAUCAUCUCAACUAUUCUGUUUGCCUGUAUUAUUUCAUUCCAUUAUGUGUAUGAAACCCCUAUGGGUUUAAUGCAUCCCAAAGUUCUUCAAACUUAAUGCAUUCUUAUGGUAAGCAUUGUAAAAGCCUGGACCUAGAAGAAAAUGAUAUUACAUAUUCAUUAUUUGUCUUGUUCAUAAUCAAACUGAAACCUUUGACUUGAAGUAUCAGGCUGCAGAUGUCUGAAUAAUAGUGCCAUGAUAGCAAAUAUGUGGUAAUAUGUACAAUAUCUUACCUCUUGAAUUAAAAAAUAAUAUUACCUGGAAUAUUAAGAAUUCAAAGAUUAUCAUAAAGUAUUAUAUACCAUUAUGUUCACCUCUGAAAUGUUUGGAAAUUAAUUUCAUUUUAGCAUGCAAGAUCGUGAUGGUGUAAUGAGAAAGUCUAUGAAGGCAAAUCUCCAGAACAAAACAGCUAAUAUGUGUCCAGCAUACUGGGGUACAAAGUAAUGGUGUAGAUACAAUCGGCCAUGUGGACCUGUUGGAUCUUUCUUGCAAUGAAAGAGUAAUAGUUGGCCUGCAAGAACGAAAGCAACACAUUUAGAAGGGUUCUUUCAUUGCUUUGGAGUUUUUGUGUUUGAAUUAACAACAGCCUGAGAGGAAAGGACCUUGAAAGAGAGCAAACUGGACAUAGCAGUAGGUUUUACCAGAGCUGAUUCAUGAAAUGCAGUUUAUGCUAUGAUAUAUUUGCACUUAUGCUCAAUUAGUGACAAUUAGUUAGGAAUGACUAAUUAAUCUAACAAACACUGUAUUAGUGAAGAACUACAUUUAAAUUUACGUUGUUAACUGAUUUCUUAUUUAUCAUGUACUUGCAGGAUCAUUUAUACCAUUCUGUAAUGAUUCCUGUUGUUAUUCUUUAAAUUAUGUAGGAGUUUAUGGAAUAAUGGGAAAAAAAUCUUGAGAUUUUUUUGAGACCUGAAAAUCUAUAUAGUUCAACCUUGAUGGAAUUAUAAUUAUAGAAAAAAAUGUUAUAUAAAUUGCGAAUUCCAUGAAAUACAUGUAUCUUAUUUUAUUACAACUAUUAGCAUAACAUUGACCAUGAAGUAAGUUAGAGGGUUUUAUUUAUUUAGUGUUUGAAUAUUUUUCUUUUCAAGAAGACUAGAUAUUGCAUAAUAAAUUUCACUGAUACAGUGUUCACAAGUGCUGAUCUACAACAAACUGCAGUACUAUGUUUACUUGAUGACUUAUAUUGCUAUAUUUGAAAUGUCAUCUUUACUAGAAUUAGAAUGUUCAUUAAAUGUGAAUAUUUUGCCAGUAUAUUGCUAGAGAAAAAAGCAUAGUGCACAAACAGUACAAUUAGUAAAUAAAGUGAAUAUGUACCUGUAUUACUGCUUAUUAUUGUUUACUCACUUGUGAAUUUGUAAAAUUUGCUACUUUGUAAUCAGAUUCUCUCUGACUGCUGCUAAUUACAGAGACUAAAAUGCAUAAUAGUUGCUACUUAGUACUAAUGUGGGCUUCAUAAUGGUUUUAAAGUUUGUGAUUCCUGGCUACUUUGAGUUUUAGUACCUAAUUAUUGUAAGGCUUAUUGCAAUGUUGUAGUUUUAUAAAUAUAUAAGUCUUCUAGAUGCAUACAACCUUUGGGAUCUAAAACACUACAUACCAGUUUCAUUAUCAGCAAUGUAAAAAUUACAAAAAAAAGCUAUGUAUCAGGGGGUUAGCCAAAUACAAAUAAAACUGAGUGACGUACUUUAACUGAAGUUGUUUGUAUCAUAUAAUUAAAUUGCUAAUUCUAGGGCACUUUUGUAGAAGUGAAUAUCAGAUGUCUAGUAUUAUUAAAAGUUGGGUUUAAAUAAGAUUUUAUGUUCUUCAGUUUUGGCCUUGAUUACUUACUGAGAAGUUACAUAAAUUAGUUAAAAUAUUAUGUACUUGGCAUGUUUGAUUUCUUUAGCAAUGAAAUUGAGGAAUCUAUUCUUUACAAGUAAAUCUAGUUCUGCUUUUAUUUAUUAACAUGUCCCCUUCCCAGGAUUGAUGCAUUCUUCAUUCAAGUUCUGAAAGGGGCUGAGGGAAGAAGGAAAACAACAUUUUUUUAAGAAAAUGUUUAGUUAAACUUUCAAUGCUUUCUGAUACACUAGGGGAAAAGAAAAAGAUAACCAUCUUCCGGACUAAUUUUAUAUACUUCCAAGUGUAGGAAGUGUACAUAGGGUGGUUGUGGUGUUAGUUGAAAUGCUGGCAGGUAUUCUGUUUAAUUAGCUCCCUAGCCAGGUCUCUUACAUAAAUAGGUCUGUACCAAACCUAAUAGUGCCAUUAACAUAUUUCUGAAUGGAGAAAUGUCGAAUUUCUGUAAAACAUAUUAAUCUGGCAUGUAAAUUAAUAUGACUAAGGAAUUUUCAGGUUUUGAGUGGAGAGGCCCAAUUUCAUACACUGCCCAGCAAAAUAAAAGAGCCGUAGACAGGGUAGUCAGGAAUGCUGCUUUAGUAUGUAGGUUUUUUUAUUAUGAGGCUUUAGGCAAUAAUGAUCUAUAACCAGGAUCAUGCUUCUGAGAGGCCUAGCUAAAAGCCUUUGCUUUUAUAGCUGAUACAGGAAUAUAUUGACUUGGGACAUAAAUGAAAUUACUGUAUUAUUUUACUAUACGUAAGGUAACAAGAUUCCAGUUGCUAGAGCAGUAUGAACAAAUGCAUUUCUGUUUCUGUUAAUCUGAAAUAUAUAUAAACUAUAUUUAUAACUGGACAUGACAUUUUAGAAGAUGUUUGUGAAGUCAGUCCGUGCCUUCCCAGUUAACUUUGAAGGUUAGUCUUAAAUGACAAAAUGACUUGCGAAAAUUUAACUUACAUGAACCUUAACCAAUAGAAUCAGGUACUUUCCAUGUAUUUUAAAUUAUUUAGUCACUGAUCAUUGUUCACAAAUGCAAAUGUAAAUUUUUUAGGGUGCAAACGGUAUGUUCCAAGAGUUGAAAGCCAUUUCUUCUGAUAAUAAAUGUGAUCUCUUUUUCA